GACGAACGCUGGCGGCGUGCUUAACACAUGCAAGUCGAACGGAAAGGCCCUGCUUUUGUGGGGUGCUCGAGUGGCGAACGGGUGAGUAACACGUGAGUAACCUGCCCUUGACUUUGGGAUAACUUCAGGAAACUGGGGCUAAUACCGGAUAGGAGCUCCUGCUGCAUGGUGGGGGUUGGAAAGUUUCGGCGGUUGGGGAUGGACUCGCGGCUUAUCAGCUUGUUGGUGGGGUAGUGGCUUACCAAGGCUUUGACGGGUAGCCGGCCUGAGAGGGUGACCGGCAAAAUUGGGACUGAGAUACGGCCCAGACUCCUACGGGAGGCAGCAGUGGGGAAUAUUGCACAAUGGGCGGAAGCCUGAUGCAGCAACGCCGCGUGCGGGAUGACGGCCUUUGGGUUGUAAACCGCUUUAGCCUGUGACGAAGCGUGAGUGACGGUAAUGGGUAAAGAAGCACCGGCUAACUACGUG
rnacentral:rRNA from 1 species